rfam:Pontibacillus yanchengensis Y32 contig107, whole genome shotgun sequence.
CCAAUCCUGAUGUGUACGUUUUCCGACCAAAUCGUUUUGACCGAACAUCAAUUAUACGGGAGCUUGGCGUUUUCAGACGGCGUGCAAGCCUCAUGUUCAUUGAACGAGAGGACGCACAAACUCUGGAACAGAGCACCCACCUGCCUAGUGCGGGUUCAAAACAUUGGAUUCGACGGCACGAUUGGGAUUGGC